CACCCAGGACGGUGGAUCACUCGGCUCGUGGGUCGAUGAAGAACGCAGCAAAUUGCGCGUCGACAUGUGAACUGCAGGACACAUGAACAUCGACGUUUCGAACGCACAUUGCGGUCCAUGGAUUCCAUUCCCGGGCCACGUCUGGCUGAGGGUCG
rnacentral:rRNA from 2 species